AACGAACGCUGGCGGCAGGCUUAACACAUGCAAGUCGAGCGCCCCGCAAGGGGAGCGGCAGACGGGUGAGUAACGCGUGGGAAUCUACCCAUCUCUACGGAAUAACGCAUGGAAACGUGUGCUAAUACCGUAUACGUCCUUCGGGAGAAAGAUUUAUCGGAGAUGGAUGAGCCCGCGUUGGAUUAGCUAGUUGGUGGGGUAAAGGCCUACCAAGGCGACGAUCCAUAGCUGGUCUGAGAGGAUGAUCAGCCACACUGGGACUGAGACACGGCCCAGACUCCUACGGGAGGCAGCAGUGGGGAAUAUUGGACAAUGGGCGAAAGCCUGAUCCAGCCAUGCCGCGUGAGUGAUGAAGGCCCUAGGGUUGUAAAGCUCUUUCACCGGUGAAGAUAAUGACAGUAACCGGAGAAGAAGCCCCGGCUAACUUCGUGCCAGCCGCCCGCCGUAAAAC
rnacentral:rRNA from 1 species